rnacentral:rRNA from 1 species
AUUGAACGCUGGCGGCAUGCCUUACACAUGCAAGUCGAACGGCAGCACGGGAGCAAUCCUGGUGGCGAGUGGCGAACGGGUGAGUAAUAUAUCGGAACGUGCCCAGUCGUGGGGGAUAACGCAGCGAAAGCUGUGCUAAUACCGCAUACGAUCUAUGGAUGAAAGCAGGGGAUCGCAAGACCCCGCGCGAUUGGAGUGGCCGAUAUCAGAUUAGGUAGUUGGGGGGGUAAAGGCGCACCAAGCCGACGAUCUGUAGCUGGUAUGAGAGGAAGACCAGCCACACGGGAACAGAGACACGGUCCAGACUCCUACGGGAGGCAGCAGUGGGGAAUUUUGGACAAUGGGCGCAAGCCUGAUCCAGCAAUGCCGCGUGCAGGAUGAAGGCCUUCGGGUUGUAAACUGCUUUUGUACGGAGCGAAACGGUCUACUCUAAUACAGUGGGCUAAUGACGGUACCGUAAGAAUAAGCACCGGCUAACUACGUGCCAGCCGCCGCAGUAA